GUUCCAAAAGUGCUGGGUUCUGGACAUGUAGAUUUGUUUAAUUGCAGUAUGUUUGAUAUGAGAUUCUAGCCUGCCUAUGUGGAAUGAAAGUUUGGUUCUGUUUCUGAUGUUGUCUGAACUUGAUUCAUUUCGGGUCAGGUAGGAGGAGCUGAAUGUUGAUUAGAGAGAAUAUGUGAUUCUAAUUUACUAGUAACCCAUGUGACAUAGCGAUCUUAGAGUGGUGUGACAUCUUGGUGAAGUCCAAGAAAGUCCCCUGGUGUAGCUACCAACUAUUCCUGGGUGUUAAAGGCAGCUCGGGACAACAGACUAGCCCAACUCUCUGAAAAAGCUGAGGUCAGCACAGAUCUGGGGCAUGGGCUGGAGUCAGCAAGACAGCAUGCAGAUGUCAUGCUAGACCUGUGAGCUCACAGGUGUGACUCCCACCUGGGUCUGGAAGGAUAGUGUGUGAAUAGGCAUCAUUAGGUUGAAGUCUGGGCUGGAUUCAGAAAGGGUGAAAAUGGAUGCUUGUCCUAGCUAGGCCGGGGCCUGGAUGUGGCCAGUGUGGACUCCUUGAGCUAGCUAACUCACCAAGAGAUCUUGCAGAUACUGCAGCGCUCACCUGGACUGAGAGGAACCUCGUGGAUGGGCAAUGUGAGCCUAAGUUUUGAAGGAUGUGUGUUCAGAGUGAAUUAUAUGCACAGUCAGUGACUCAAACCUCCUGAAAGAAGUUCAAGCCUUAUCUAAGUGUCUCCACACAUGCCAUGUAAGUCAUUGUUUUAUUUGCUUUCUUGGACUCCAUCUUUUUAAAUCUGUCUUUUCAUAUGAAUUUUCAAUUUGUGGAGAGUGAAGAUGAGGUCAGGAAAAGGUACCAGAAGCAGAUGAAGCAUCCCUCUGGUAUUUUGAGGGAAAACACUUUCUCCAGAUGUUGUCCCCACUUACAUUAUUAAGAAUCCCACUAUGUGGGCUUAUUUUCUGUGUUAAGGUAUUCCUUGUUUUCCCAAACUCUGUGGCCUGAGGUUUCCCUUCUAACUAAUUUUCAUUUUCACUUACAACUGUAAGAAUGCAACCUCUUCUAUCAAUAUACUAUAGGAUGAGGACCAUGCUGGUGAUGAUGGUAUCAUCAAGAUGAGGACCAUACUGGUGAUGAUGGUAUCAUCAAGAUGAGGGUCAUGCUGGUGAUGAUGGUAUCAUCAAGAUGAGGACCAUGCUGGUGAUGAUGGUAUCAUCAAGAUGAGGACCAUGCUGGUGAUGAUGGUAUCAUCAAGAUGAGGACCAUGCUGGUGAUGAUGGUACCCAUCAGGAUGGGGACCAUGCUGGUGAUGAUGGUAUCAAGAUGAGGACCAUGGUGGUGAUGAUGGUAUCAAGAUGAGGACAUGAUACAGAGAUAAUUUUGUCUUGCAGAGGACACAGAAAGCACAGAGAAUCUGGCAACAUUGGCUCCCUUUUAAAUGAAACUCUGGAACCUCAUGCUUUUCCAUGGGAAUGACAGAACAGCUCAUCUGCCUGGGAACCACUUUUACUUCUUCAGCACCUACCAGCUUCUGAGGCCCUGUGUGGAGCAUGAUAGUCAAUUUUUUUUUUUUUUUUUUUUUUUUUGCACAAUAGUCCUCCCGUUUUACAGGGGAGUAAACCCCUGGUCUUCUCCAAAGCCACAUGGCUAGUACUGAUGGAUUUAGAAGUUGAGUUCAGGAAUGCUGUCUCCAGAACCCCAUGCCUCCCUCUGUGACCUCUCCUGAACCUAGACGUGAGGGAUGGAAAAUGGUACCAACUGAGAGAAAUGUGAAAAACUGACUGAGGAGAUACCAAGGCAUGCUGAAGGAUAGAUGCCACCAGACUGUUGGGAUCUUUUUGUGCUUACCCAAUCCCUAGCAUGAGUUUAUCUGCUUCUUUUAUUGGAGCAUAGCCCAUUUCUCUCUCUCUCUCUCUCUCUCUCUCUCUCUCUCUCUCUCUCCUCUCACACACACACACACACACACACACACCAACUCAUCUUCUUUCAAUGAAGGACACACAAAUUCAGCAGUGCUCAAUAGUUUUGAAGUCUAGGUCUCUGCGUCACCUCAGAGCCUCCUCCAGCUCUGUUCUAAGACAGCCAGCAUGCCUGUCACUCUCUCACAUUCUUUUUCUCAUGGCUUAGAAAUCCCUUCCUCCCCUUCUCAUGGCCACGCCUACCCUAGGACAGUAGAUAUCACCUGAUGAGGGAGCCAUGCCUUGGUUUGCAGAGGAUUACCUUGUCUGUGUUCCACAGGAAGAUCUUUCUAGCCUCUGCUGCAGCAAGCCUCAGUGCUUGCUAAAGAGGUAUAGCUCUGCACUUCAGUUCUGGGGGAGGAAUUUAGUAAAUGUUUAUUUAAGUGGACAACUAAAUGGGUGGAUGGCUAUAUGGAGGACUAUUUUUGUGCCAGUUUCCCCUAAGGACUAAGAAAGAGCCUUACAAUUCUCCAGAACCACAGGAAAUUUCCCCUAUGUGCACCUUCCCUGACUUACCAUUCUCUAUCUUUUGCUAUUGUUGCUGUUUAUUUUAAACAUUGCAUAAUGGGAAGUUGGCAAACCCUUAAUUUCUGCUACUUUUCUUUAUUUUACCCAACGGAACACACAUUUUCGAGUCCACUGUUCUGUUAUUCUUUUCCGUACUCAGCACACAUAUCACUCAUAAAAAGGUGACUUACUGCCAUGUUUCCAGCAUAACACAUAAGAGCUCUGUAAAAACCCAGUAAAGAAAAUGAACUGAGGCUUGGAGAAGGAUCCCUCUCUCUGCCUCGGCGUCAUGCUGUCAACUCCUAUCAUGUAAUUCUACUUAGUACUUCUGGGCCAUUUCCUUCAAAGCUCCGUCCAAGCAUUACCUAAGUGAUGCUUAGGUAGGGCGGGUGAGACGCCAGGAACUCCAGCCAUAAAUGUAGAACUGUGAAAUGCAGUCCCGAGGAAAUUAGAUUUUAGAGUUGGAAAAGCAAUGAAAUCCUGACAGUAACAGGCUGUCUCACUUCAGAUAGCCACAUGGUCACCUCUCCUCCCAUCCCCUUUAGGACAACGGGGCAUUAUAUUAAGAGCAAAGGAGAGGGAGAGGCGGUUUCCAGAAAUUAUGGAAAACCAUAUAUAUCCCUUAGUGGGCAGCCAGUGAAAGGGUAGCUUUUUGGUCUUCUCCCCCCCACCCCCCAGCAGUUUGAUGGGAAAAUAACUGUUCUUACUUCCUGAUCUGGAAAGGCCAGCCAUGGUUCAAGAGAUGCCAAGCGCCUGCUGUGGGUCAGGCAUUUCACAUGCAGCAUGCCUCAUAACACCUAGCAUAAGGCCAUGGCAUGUCACAUGUGAGGUGAAGUGUCAUACGUGAGCUGUUUCAUCAGCCCGGUCCCUAACAGCUGCACUACAGGAGUCACUCACACAAGAGCACAUUAUAGGAGCUAACACAUGCUAGCAAACAAGGCCAGAGGCUGAGUGAGAACUGCUUGCAGAACAUGUUUCCCAGAACUCUGAAGUUCGAGUCAGCAGUGUGAGCACUGGAUCGUGGUCUCGGGGCUUUCUGGCAUUGACUUAGAAACUCUGGAACCAUACAUUCUUCAAAAGCAAUAAGAUGUAGUUGUUUUAAUAGUUUUAAAACACUGAUAGGAAAAAAAGGGGGUUCUUUAUAAGCCAGCAGCUAUUUUCACAUAGGCUCUGCUCCUUCCUUCCUAGUCUACUAUGUGCACAAGGGUGGGAGCUAUUCUACUCUUCUGGGGCACUGUGUUCUGCCAAGGUCAUGGCUGUAUCUGCUCCUUUGGGCCACUACUUGGUGCCUGGGGGCCACUCACUGUGCUCUCUCCAUUCAUUUUAUUCCAGGUCUUUCAACUUUCUCCCUUCCUCGCUUUCUCCCUUUCUCCUUUCUAUCUCCCUCCCUCUCCUUCCCCCUUAUCCUCCUGGACUCCCUUCUCUCUUCUCUCUCUCCCCUCAUCUCCUCCCCACUUCUAUCUGGUGAUGCCAUGUUACUCAGCUUUGCCUCAAACUUGCAAUCCUCCUGCCUCAGACUCUGAGUACCUGAUGUUGCAGGUGUCCAGCUACCAGCUCCCCAUUUCCUCACUAUUUCUUGGAUGGAUUUUUUUUUUUAUCUGAAAGAACUGUAAGUUUCUUGUUUAAUCUCAAUGAUGACAUAAAAGUCAAAUAUUCUAGUUAUCUUGGGACUGAACUGGAUGUGUUCGCCUGGGUGGUUAGGAUUAUGCUUGAGACAGAUGGUAAAAAGAAAAUUAGGUGACUUGUGUGAAUGAUGUGACUGCUAGGAUCACAGACACUGGCCAGAUAAAGGAAUGCUGUCGCACAUGUGCCACUGUAGCCUUCCAAGUAGAGCCAUACAGAGUCCAAAGAGCCUGCACCAAGGGUCAGGGCCACUGAGGGAAACCAGUGAAUUCAUUUCAGCUCAGCCAUUUCAUCUUUACACAGUUAAGUUGGCUUUUAUGAGGUUUACAUUUUUUUCAAACACACACACAAUGCAUAUUAUUUCUUUAUUUUAAUUAUGGUUUUUCUGCUUUUGAGAUUGCAACAUGAAUGCAUCAUUUACCUCUUCCCUUCCCUCCCUCCAAUUCCUCCCAUGCACUCCUACCUUGCUCUCUUGCGAAUUUAUGGCUUCUUUAACUUUAAUUGUUGUUGUUAUUGUGUAUGCACGUAACACAACAUGCACAACCUGCUUAGUCCUUGUUGAGUGGACCUUAAAUCCAACUAGAGAGCUGUUGGGUCCUGCCAAAGUAUGCAUCCCGUGACUGCUUCCUUAGGAAUAUCAGGCCAUGCUGGUGUCACUGUGGUUCAGAGACAUCAUAGCUUAGAAGACCUGCUGGUUACUUCCCUUCUUUGGAAGCUUGCAUGACACCUUCUGGCACCAUGAAAAUUGGUCCUCACGGAGGAGGCCUCAUAUGAGAUCCAGGCCAGGUCCUCUGGGUCAUACAUCUGUCUAAAGUGUAUGGAGUUUUCAGCAAUAAGAACUUACCUUUCACCUUUGAGGGCAACCUAGGGCAGCAGCAAUGGCCUACCAUGUUUUGGGAGUCUCUUGGACAACCCUGACCGACAAACAAAAGAGGGCUCCUCAUGUCUAGUGUUGGGGUUUUUGUUAGAUACUCUAUGCCUCUUGGGGGAGCAUUGUUAAAUUUCAUUUAAACUAUACAUGCAUACAGAGGUUUUCAUGCAUUAUAGGUAUUUUAGAUGGAUAGUCAUCAGUAUGUGAUUCUUUAUGAAUUUUUCAGAUACUCAUUGUUAUUUAACCCCCUCCUCUUUCUGUACUUAUUACCCUCCCACUCUCUAUUUAAAGUACCCUGUUUUCCCCAUUUCUCCCUUCAGAUAACUGCUAUACCCCACUCUAUUGCUCCCUACCCAUGCAGCCAGCCAAUAGUCGGUUUCUAGUUUCCUGCUAUCUAUAGUCAUUUCAGGGUAUGUACUCACAUCUGAAAAUUUAGAGCUAUGAGCCUCUGGUAAGAGAGAACAUGUAACAUUUGUCUUUCUGGGUUACUUCACUCAAGAUGAUCUUUUCUAGUUCCAUCAUGUAGCUGCAAUUUUUAUGAUUUCCCUUUUCUUUACAGUUGAACUGUAUUUCACAGUAUAUAUUUGUAGCACAAUAAAUAAAAGACCCAGAGACUGAUAUUGGGGUUCAAGCUUCAAGCUGAAGAUCAGAGAAGCAAAGCAGCCAAGCCACUAGCUCUUACCUCUACCAAUGCUCAGACCAAAGGGGCCAUCUUCAGACUGCUCCUGACUUCACUGCUCCUCAGAUUCACUCAGGUUGCUAUGCUCCUCAGUGUGGUUAUAGACUAUAUGCCUUCCUAUCCUAAUUGUGGCUGGAGAAUGAAUGCCAGCUCUGAAACCCUGUUCCUGUCUUAAAUACUUCUCAUGGGGCCUGGGAUUCAAGGCAUGAGCUCUGUUAUUCUUUUAGACUGAUUCAAUCUCUUGUAGCCCUG